AUUGAACGCUAGCGGGAUGCUUUACACAUGCAAGUCGAACGAGUGGCGGACGGGUGAGUAAUAUAUCGGAACGUGCCCAGUAGCGGGGGAUAACUACUCGAAAGAGUGGCUAAUACCGCAUACUGUGUGAGCGGCCGAUGUCGGAUUAGCUAGUUGGUGGGGUAAAGGCUCACCAAGGCAACGAUCCGUAGCUGGUUUGAGAGGACGAUCAGCCACACUGGGACUGAGACACGGCCCAGACUCCUACGGGAGGCAGCAGUGGGGAAUGUUGGACAAUGGGCGAAACCCUGAUCCAGCCAUCCCGCGUGUAUGAGAAGGUCUUCGGGUUGUAAAGUACUGUUGGUAGAGAAGCGGUAUCUACAGAAUAAGCACCGGCUAACUACGUGCCAGCAGCCGCGGUAAUAC
rnacentral:rRNA from 1 species